rnacentral:lncRNA from 1 species
ACCUUGGCCAAGGAUUCAUGGGUUGUCAUUUAUCGAAUCACAUAUGACAUUUCUCUUCUUUUACUAGAAGUGGUAGAUUCUUUAUUGAUUAUUCAUUAUCUUCAUAUAUAACUUAUUACACCCAAGCAUACCCUUUGAUAUACUCUAAGAGUCUUAAGGAAUAAGUCAAAGUGUAAUUCAUUAUAUAUAAGAUACUAUGAUGAUCUCAAGUCUAAUGAUCAUUUGUACUACUAUCAUUACAGAAAUUCAUAUUGACAGGCAAGUAAAACUCCAUUAGGUAUUAUUUAGCGAGUCACGUUCAGUGAACUUAUUCUCUAAUAAGCACCUACAUACUUGCUUUAGUGUAUCCACACAAAUGAUCA